rnacentral:rRNA from 1 species
CGUAGGGUGCGAGCGUUAAUCGGAUUACUGGGCGUAAAGCGUGCGCAGGCAGUUUAGUAAGACAGGCGUGAAAUCCCCGGGCUCAACCUGGGAACUGCGCUUGUGACUGCUAAGCUAGAGUACGGCAGAGGGGGGUGGAAUUCCACGUGUAGCAGUGAAAUGCGUAGAGAUGUGGAGGAACACCAAUGGCGAAGGCAGCCCCCUGGGUCGAUACUGACGCUCAUGCACGAAAGCGUGGGUAGCAAACAGGAUUAGAUACCCUGGUAGUCCACGCCCUAAACGAUGUCAACUAGGUGUUGGGAGGGUAAAACCUUUUAGUACCGGAGCUAACGCGUGAAGUUGACCGCCUGGGGAGUACGGCCGCAAGGUUA